ACAGUGUCUGGUGGGUAGUUUGACUGGGGCGGUCUCCUCCCAAAGAGUAACGGAGGAGCACGAAGGUUAGCUAAUCCUGGUCGGACAUCAGGAGGUUAGUGCAAUGGCAUAAGCUAGCUUGACUGCGAGCGUGACGGCGCGAGCAGGUGCGAAAGCAGGUCAUAGUGAUCCGGUGGUUCUGAAUGGAAGGGCCAUCGCUCAACGGAUAAAAGGUACUCCGGGGAUAACAGGCUGAUACCGCCCAAGAGUUCAUAUCGACGGCGGUGUUUGGCACCUCGAUGUCGGCUCAUCACAUCCUGGGGCUGAAGUAGGUCCCAAGGGUAUGGCUGUUCGCCAUUUAAAGUGGUACGCGAGCUGGGUUUAGAACGUCGUGAGACAGUUCGGUCCCUAUCUGCCGUGGGCGCUGGAGAAUUGAGGGGGGCUGCUCCUAGUACGAGAGGACCGGAGUGGACGCAUCACUGGUGUUCGGGUUGUCAUGCCAAUGGCACUGCCCGGUAGCUAAAUGCGGAAGAGAUAAGUGCUGAAAGCAUCUAAGCACGAAACUUGCCCCGAGAUGAGUUCUCCCUGAGACUUUAAGUCUCCUGAAGGAACGUUGAAGACGACGACGUUGAUAGGCCGGGUGUGUAAGCGCAGCGAUGCGUUGAGCUAACCGGUACUAAUGAACCGUGAGG
rnacentral:rRNA from 1 species